rnacentral:lncRNA from 10 species
UUUUUUGUAGAGAUGGGGUUUUGCCAUGUUGCCUAGGCUGGUCUCAAACUCCUGAGCUCAAGCAAUCCACCUGCUUCAGCCUCCCAAAGUGCUGGGAUUAUAAGCGUGAGCCACCAGGCCCAGACUCUUGCUUCUUCUAAUGUAACUGCAGGCUCCUCCCUGCUUCCGGCCUCCUCCCUCUCACAGCUGCCAGAGUGACCUUCCCAAAGCACACACGUGAUCACAAAACCCCCCUGCUUCAAGCCCACUGGUGGCUCCCCGGUACCCUGGGAUAAAUUCCAAACUCAGCCACUCCACAAGGCCUCCCAUGCUCACCAAGCCCCUGCUCACCCCCUCAGCCUCAUCUCUAACUGCCCCCUCUGGCCCCUGGGGAUUCAGCUUGCUUGCUUCCUCCACCAGUCUGACCUCAGUCCUCCCUCCCUCUGUUGUCCCCUCCUCAGGCUUCUGUUCCAUUCCUUAAUUGGGAUCCUGGUGGUGAAAGUGCAUUCUAAAGCGCUAUGCCCCAUGGGGGGGACUAGGGAGAGUGUUUGAGUUUCCAGGCUUCUUCCACACUGAACAUAUGGUACUUUCACACUCAAAGUGCUUUUCAGGUUGCUUUUGACAUAAGACAAGGCCAUCAGUUGGGGAGGUGUAUGUAAGGGAAACCAGAGCUAGAGACAGGUUUUAGAGGUAUUCAUCAGAAGAUAUUUCUGGACCACUUACUGUGUAUCUGGCCUUGGGUGCUGGGCAUAGCAAAGGCAGAUGCAGCCUGAACAAAUAGAGAAUUGGCUGGCCCUACGCCAGAUUUGCUGAAUUGGAAUCUCCAGGGAAGUUCUCAGGUGAAUCUUAGAACUGGGUAAGUUGGAAAGCCCUAACCUGAUUUCAUUUGUAAGACAUAUCCAGGAUAGGCAAAUCUGUAGAGACAGAAAGUAGAUUAGUGGUUGCCUGGGGGUAGGGUGGAGAAUAUGGAAGCGCAGGGAUGACAGCUAAGGGGUGCAGGGUUUCUUUUUGGGUUGAUGAAAAUGUUCUAAAAUUGUGGUGAUGGCUGUGCAACUCUGAAUAUACUAAAAGCCAUUGAAUUGUACACUUUAAGUAUUUAUUUAUUUUUUUGAGAUGGAGUCUCACUCUUCACCUAGGUUGGAGUGCAGUGGCAUGAUCUAACUCACCGCAACCUCCACCUCCCGGGUUCAAGAGAUUCUUCUGCCUCAGCCUCCCAAGUAGCUGGGAUUAGAAGCAUCCACUACCAUGCCCAGCUAAUUUUUGUAUUUUUUAAGUAGAGACAACAUGGGGUUUCACCAUGUUGGCCAGGCUGGUCUGGAACUCCUGACCUCAGGUAGUCCACCUGCCUUGGCCUCCAAAAGUGCUGGGAUUAUAGGCAUGAGCCACUGCGCCUGGCCAAAUUGUACACUUUAAAUGGUUGAAUUGCAUGGUAGGUGCGCUAAAUCUCAAAAAGAGCUGUUUAAAAAAAAUAAAAAGGCUGGGUGUGAUGCCUCAUACCUGUGAUCCCAGCACUUUAGAAGGCCAAGGUGGGAGGAUCACUUGAGGCCAGCCUGGGCGACAUAGUGAGACCACCUCUUUAGCAGGGCAUAGUGGUGUGUGCCUAUAGUCCCAGCUACUUGGUAGGCUGAGGUAGGAGGAUCCCUUGAGCCCAGGAGUUCAAGGUUACGGUGAGCUAUGAUCAUACCACUGCACUCCAGCCAGGACAACAGAGCAAGACCCUGUCCCAAAAACAAAACAAAACACUUGGACCAAGUUCUAGAGGGAAGGCACCCACCUCAGACCUGGGUGGUUACCCAGUAAAAUUGUCAGCAUAUAUUAUGAAUGUAUGUUCCAGAGGGUACAAAGUAAAUAAGCAAUUGCAGGCCAGGUGCGGUGGCUCACGCCUGUCAUCCCGCACUUUGGGCGGCCAGGGUGGGUGGAUCACCUGAGGUAAGGAGUUUGAGACCAGCCUGACCAACAUGGAGAAACGCCGUCUCUACUAAAAAUACAAAAUUAGCCGGGUGUGGUGGCACAUGCCUGUAAUCCCAGCUACUCGGGAGGCUGAGGCAGGACAAUCGCUUGAACCCAGGAGGCAGAGGUUGUGGUGAGCUGAGAUCACGCCAUUGCACUCCAGCCUGGGCAACAAGAGUGAAACUCUAUCUC